rnacentral:misc_RNA from 1 species
AUUGAUCUGUCUCAGGU